ACAGGAUUCAGCAGCAUGUUUUAUGAUUCCCAGUAAUACAGAUAUUAUAUAUUCUCUCCUUAUUCAACUUAAUUUUUUAUUUCGUUUGCAUGAUACAUACACAAGGAACCUAUGAAAAUUUAAUAUUAGAGAUUAAAGGGAUGAUGGUACUUUUUAUUUUUCAUAUUCUCAAAAAAUCCUGUUAAAAUCCUAAAACCAACAAUAAAAGACCCACUGCAUAAGACUGCUUAUUAUAUCCCCCUUUGUGCUGCUAAAAUUGCUCUGACCUGUUGGCAUGUGGACAGGCUCUUUAGGGCAGCGGUCCCCAACCCCUGGGCCACGGACCGGUACUGGUCUGUGAGUCGUUUGGUGCCGGGCCACAAGAGUUGAGGCUCGGGUGUGAAAUUUAUUGUUUUCAGGUUUUUUAUCAUUUUUUAUCAUUAUUUUUUUUAAUCGUUUUUAUUGUUAACUUUGUUUCCCUGGGUCUUUUCCCGUGUGUUACAAAUAAAUCUUCUUUUUUUUUGGUAUCGGUACUGGUUUUAUUUUGUUGUAUUUAUCUGCAACACCUUAAAGUCUGGUCCGUGAAAAUAUUGUCAGACAUAAACCGGUCCGUGGCGCAAAAAAGGUUGGGACCGCUGCUCUAGGGGUAUUCUGUUGUGCCUGGUUUUGUUUUACAUGUACAAUAAAAAUAAAAUGCUAUUUUGUUCUAUUCUAUUCUAUUCUAUUCUAUUCUACCCCAACUCACACAUUUAAUUUAAAGUUACUUUAUUAAAAUUCAUAUAAUUCAAAUCUACAGUAUUACUUUUACUAAUGCUACUAUUACUACAGAACAUUGCAUUGGAAUGACAUGAAUGGUGUGAAUCACUUUCCCUGUAAAACUGCAUUACCUAAGCAGACGGCAAAAUCUUCUUUGCGAUUGCUUUGGUUACUAUAAUACUGUUGCAGUUGUAUUUUGAAUGGAAGUGACAAACUUGUCUUCAAACACUGAUCAGGUACUCUUCAAAAGUCAGAAGUCAAAGUUGCUGUGCUGAGACACACUUU
ensembl:lncRNA